ensembl:lncRNA
AGGCUGAUUAGGCUACACUUUAAACUCUUAAAAACAAGCCUACAUUCAUAAAAGGAUAAAGUCCCCACCUUUCUGCCACAAUACCAUAACUACAGUUUAUGUGACUAGUUAAUCGUUAGUGGAUUAAACUGGAUGUUUUCUGCAGUGUUUCUCCUGUUUCACACUUCAGGGAUGUUGAGAAUGUCAGCGCUGUUUCAUCAGGAUUGAAUCAGUAGUUUGUGUCGAAUGGCUCGUGCUGGAUCUCACAGCUGUGUUUAAUCUGUGAUUGCUCUUUCUUCCGGUGCAGAGGAGCGCGUGUGAUUUCGUUCCGCUUUUGGAGUUUAGACGCUUCUCAUGCACAAUAGAAAUAAAUGGCAGCACUUGUGUGGCUCCCGUGCGACCGAUAACAAACUUCAGUCUCACCAGCAGAAAAAAAAAAAGAAAAAAAAAAAACAUUUGCAAAAUAUGAGCGAAUAGUCUGGAUCCCUGCCACUUCAGAGAACCUGUCAGACUUGUUGAGCGUAGCUUUCUUAGCAAAACAAAAGGCAGGACACAGCUACUUUUAAAGCGUUUUCUAAACUAACUGAUCAUCAGCAAAAACGACUUGUCUUUAUGUUCUUAGUUUUGUUUAUACGGGUAUCUUGAGUAAAAGAUAUUUAAAGUUAGGCUACAUUUGGCUUUAGGUUGCAUGAUGAAAUUAACCAAGACGAAAACAAACUCGCUCCUCACACUGAUUCUGCUGUUUCACACCAUGUCUGAGCAAGCAGGAGCUUCUCAUGAUGAUGAUCUGGAGGAUCAACAAUCACAACAGUGUGAUAUUGAGAAACGAGCUCAGGAGCUGCUGGGAGCAGAAGUCCUGCAGUACUGCAUUGUUCUUCUGCUGCAAAAUCACCAGGAACCUUUCACAGGAGCCUCCAGAGAAAUGAUCGACGCAUGUGGAGGAAGAUUUCUCAUCAUAAGAGACUCUGAACCUAAACCUGCUCAAAGAGCAGCUCUCGUAGCAGAAAUACACAAGUUAGUUUGGCUCAACGAUCACAGAUUUUACUCAGUAGUGACUCAAGGGUUGGAUGCAGAAGAGUCCAGUCAAAGUGUGCAUGAAGAAAAUAAGAUGCUCUCUGAAAAACAUGACAAUUCAGCAGGAACUGCACGAUGGAUUUUACUAAUUUUACUGAACACUGCUUUUAUUUUCACUAAAGUAAGACAUGACCAUUUUCAUUUUGCGGAAAUACUCUUCGUGCUUGUUAUUUUUACCGUCACUUUAAGAGAGACUCUCAAUCCAGAUGUUUCUGUUCCUUUAAAUUUGAUUGUAUCCUCAACUUUCACAGUAGCCUCUGCAUAUAAAGACUUCGCAAAUUCACGACAUGGACACCAAAUCAUAAUGUUUUUAGUCAUGAUCUUUACAUUUCCCAGUAUAGUGUUCAUAGCCGGUCUAGGACUGACUGUAGGAACAGCGGUCAGUGUACGGACGUGGUCAGAUGUGCUCAUAGCGUGCCACGCUGCUCCCGGAGUCACAUUCGGGGCUCAUUUAUACACUGUUUACUCCAUUAUACCUGAUCAAAUGCAAGCUCGUACAACUCUCAUUUUUGCACUCAAGUUAUUCCUGUUCUGUUUCGUUGGAGUGACGCUCUCGAUGGGGUUUGUGACUGUAUUUGCUCUGUUUGGAGUGAAGAUGACAAUAUUUCUGCUAAUAUUAGGAUUUACAAAAAUGUAUUUCCAUUUAAAGAGUCUUUCUCUGAAAUUGUUUAUUUUUUUCCUGCUUUUUCCAUGCUGUUGUGUAUUUAUUGGUUCUUUAAUUUCAUUUUUAUACAGUUUAUUAUUUCAUUAUAUUUUAACAGUAAUUUGAAGCCGAUAAUAGUGACUAAAUCACAAGAGACACUUACAGAUUUUGGAUCAUAAGUUAAUGCUGAUAUUGAUAUUGAUGUUUCUUCAACUAUGGGUAUUUUUGGCACUGUGUACUUUCAGGAAAUAAUCACUCUUACAACCCAUCUUAUUUAAUUUCUUUACUAACGAGCAUUUAACAUCAAUACAGACAUCACAGGAAAAUCUUGAACAUUUACUGAGCAAUGUCAUUUCCACCAAAUUUCAAAUUAUAUAUUAUAUUUAUCAGCAUUUUAUUACUGGAAUAAAAUGGCUAUUUUCAUAGUUUGAAUUUUACGU